GUCGACAUAGCUUAGUGGUUGAGCAUACGAUUGCAAUGCAAGUCUCCGAUAUCGUGAGGUCCCGUGUUCGAACCACGGUGUCGACU